AGUAGAGGAGGAGAGAGAGCGAGCGAGCGAAGUUUCUCUCUCUCUCUCUCUCUCUCUCUCUCCUCCUCUCCCAAGUCCGAAUUUACUGGUGCCAACCUCAGCAGGUGUAUGGCUCCGGGUAGAGGUUUUUGAAUCUAUUUUUAGCAUGUAGUAAUGGAGUGAAUCAGCUGCUGCCUUUAGCUGAGAUGCAGAUAACAUUAGCUGUCUCAACGGGCGGCAGCACUGGCGAAUAUUGCGACACCCUUCUUUCUCUCUCUCUCUCUCACACUCUCUCACACACUCUCUCUCUCUUUUUAACUGUCUUUUUCUCUCAAGAAGUUUUCUCCCUGGACGCAAUGCAUUCCAGCUGUUUGAUCUACCGUGGAUCCAUCAUGGAUGUUGAGGCACUAUAGUCUCAAAAGUCGGCGUGGAUUGUGGUCGUUCGUCGUCGUUGCCGCUGUUGUCAUUAGUAAUAUCAUGUUAGAUUGCCAAUCGACGAGUGACGGCAGCAAGGAGGGAGAUACAGUGGGUUGUAAACAUUGUCAAGGAACAGGAGAUAAGCAAAUAUAUUGGGGAAUUCAACUUGAUCAGGAUUUGCUGGAAA
rnacentral:lncRNA from 1 species